rnacentral:rRNA from 1 species
UAGGGAAUCUUCCGCAAUGGGCGAAAGCCUGACGGAGCAACGCCGCGUGAGUGAAGAAGGAUUUCGGUUCGUAAAGCUCUGUUGUUAGGGAAGAAUGAUUGUGUAGUAACUAUACACAGUAGAGACGGUACCUAACCAGAAAGCCACGGGCAAAUUACUGGCCAGCAGCCGCGGUAAUACAUAGGUGGCAAGCGUUGUCCGGAAUUAUUGGGCGUAAAGCGCGCGCAGGUGGUUUAAUAANUUCUGAUGUGAAAGCCCACGGCUCAACCGUGGAGGGUCAUUGGAAACUGUUAAACUUUGAGUGCAGGGANAGAAAAGUGGAAUUCCUAGUGUAGCGGUGAAAUGCGUAAAAGUAUUAGGAGGAACACCAGUGGCNGAAGGCGGCUUUUUGGCCUGUAACUGACACUGGAGGGCGCGAAANGCGUGGGGGAGCAAACAGGGAUUAAAUACCCGNGGUUANUCCACNCCCGUAAAACGAAUGAAGGGCUAANGNGUUGGUGUNUNNNUNNNCAUAAGAGAUCAGUGCUGCAGCUAACGCAUUAAGCACUCCGCCUGGGGAGUACGACCCGCAAGGUUG